rnacentral:rRNA from 1 species
CCUACGGGGGACAGCAGUGAGGAAUAUUGGUCAAUGGACGCAAGUCUGAACCAGCCAUGCCGCGUGCAGGAAGACGGCUCUAUGAGUUGUAAACUGCUUUUGUACGAGGGUAAACGCAGACACGCGUAUCUGUCUGAAAGUACCGUACGAAUAAGGACCGGCUAACUCCGUGCCAGCAGCCGCGGUAAUACGGAGGAUUCAAGCGUUAUCCGGAUUUAUUGGGUUUAAAGGGGGCGUAGGCGGUCGGAUAAGUUAGAGGUGAAAUCCCGGGGCUCAACUUCGGAAUUGCCGCUGAUACUGGUCGGCUAGAGAGUAGUGGCGGUAGGCGGAA